CACGUAGGGCGCAAGCGUUGUCCGGAAUUAUUGGGCGUAAAGAGCUCGUAGGCGGUCCGUCACGUCCGCUGUGAAAACCCAGGGCUCAACCCUGGGCUUGCAGUGGAUACGGGCAGACUAGAGGUAGGUAGGGGAGAAUGGAAUUCCCGGUGUAGCGGUGAAAUGCGCAGAUAUCGGGAGGAACACCGGUGGCGAAGGCGGUUCUCUGGGCCUUACCUGACGCUGAGGAGCGAAGCGUGGGGAGCGAACAGG
rnacentral:rRNA from 1 species